AGAGUUUGAUCAUGGCUCAGAAUGAACGCUGGCGGCGUGCUUAACACAUGCAAGUCGAGCGAGGCCAGGGGGGCAACUCCCUGAGUCGAGCGGCGGACGGGUGAGUAACACGUGGGUAACCUACCCGGAAGUGGGGAAUACCUCGGGGAAACUCGAGCUAAUACCGCAUGACAUCUUCGGGACGAAAGUCCUGACGAUCAAAGCGGGGUCGCAAGAUCUCGCGCUACCGGAUGGGCCCGCGCCCGAUUAGCUAGUUGGUGAGGUAACGGCUCACCAAGGCGACGAUCGGUAACCGGCCUGAGAGGGCGAUCGGUCACACCGGAACUGAGACACGGUCCGGACUCCUACGGGAGGCAGCAGUGGGGAAUCUUGCGCAAUGGGCGAAAGCCUGACGCAGCAACGCCGCGUGGAGGAUGAAGGCCCUUGGGUUGUAAACUCCUGUCGGCUGGGAAGAAAUCGUUCGCGGCUAAUACCCGCGGACGUUGACUGUACCAGCAAAGGAAGCCCCGGCUAACUCUGUGCCAGCAGCCGCGGUAAUACAGAGGGGGCCAGCGUUAUUCGGAAUUAUUGGGCGUAAAGGGCGCGUAGGCGGCCAUGCGUGUCUUCCGUGAAAUCCCUCGGCUCAACCGAGGACGUGCGGAAGAAACUGCAAGGCUCGAGUCCAGAAGAGGGGGGCGGAAUUCCCAGUGUAGCGGUGAAAUGCGUAGAUAUUGGGAGGAACACCGGUGGCGAAGGCGGCCCCCUGGGCUGGUACUGACGCUGAUGCGCGAAAGCGUGGGUAGCAAACGGGAUUAGAUACCCCGGUAGUCCACGCCGUAAACGAUGGGCACUUGGUGUCGCGGGUAUCGACCCCUGCGGUGCCGAAGCUAACGCAUUAAGUGCCCCGCCUGGGGAGUACGGUCGCAAGGCUGAAACUUAAAGGAAUUGACGG
rnacentral:rRNA from 1 species